rnacentral:rRNA from 1 species
GAUGAACGCUAGCGGCAGGCCUAAUACAUGCAAGUCGAACGGGUGGUCGCAAGACCACUAGUGGCGCACGGGUGCGUAACGCGUAACCAACCUGCUCCGAUCUGGGGGAGAGCAUGACGAAAGGCGGAUUAAUACCGCAUAUAUCCGCAGCCUGGCAUCAGGCAACGGGGAAAGAUUUAUUGGAUCGGGAUGGGGUUGCGUGACAUUAGCUAGGUGGAGGGGUAAGGGCCCACCAAGGCGACGAUGUAUAGGGGACCUGAGAGGGUGAUCCCCCACACUGGCACUGAGAUACAGGCCAGACUCCUACUGGAGGCAGCACUAGGGAAUAUUGGGCAAUGGGCGAGAGCCUGACCCAGCCAUGCCGCGUGCCGGAUGAAGGCCUUCUGGGUUGUAAACGGCUUUUCUCAGGGAAAAAAAAGACCUUGCGAGGUACACUGACGGUACCUGAGGAAUAAGCACCGGCUAACUCCGUG